UUUCUGGAGGAAGCAAGAAAGGCCAGCAAGAGACGCUGCUGUGUCUAACGGCACCACUGCUCAUGGAGAGAAGGAACAGAGUGAUGAAGAAACAGCAAUGACAUAGACGGCCAGCUGACACCCAGUGACGACCUAUCGGAUGUAUAAAAGACCAUGUGUAAGAACCGCAGUGAAAAGGGCAUGUUUAAGGAAUGCAAAAGUGCACAUAUAUGGUAGUUUCAAGUAGGUAUUCAAACAGUGCAAAAGCAAUGACUAGAUAAGGGUGCAGGAUCAGUCCAACAAAGUGAGGACUAUUAAAUAUUAAACAUAGCAACUAAGAUUGGAAUUAUGUGUCCUUAGAUAGAAAAAAUAGGAUUUUUAUGUUUGAUGAUGGCUUAAAAAGCCACAAAAUGUGACUAAAAGUCAGAAUGAAGACGUCUUUGUUCUUAUUUGUUAUUUUGAACAAACUAAACUGGAUGUUUCAAAUGAGAAACAUUUCUUUAUCAUGCUAUAACCAGCAAUAUUGACUCUCAGUCACAUUCUUAUACGUUUAAAAGACACUACAGAGGGAAAUAAUGAAGACAAACAGAAGCUCUGCCUCAGCAGAGAUGCAUCAGAUCUUCCAGAGGUUUGUUUCCAGAUUUUCCAAGGAGGCACUAAGAGUUUAAAACAAUACCAGGAAGCCCAGCGGAGAGCGUUUUCCUGCAACGGACCUGCAUACCUGGCACUGACUGGUGCCUCGAGCUCAUUAAGCAGCGGUGGACGAUGAUUUGUGGUUUAGUGUUAGAGAAGGAGGAGCUGCGCUGACAGCAACAGGAAAAGGGAGGCUAUUGUCUGGUUUGGACAACAGUCGGAGCUUUGUGUUGUAAUUCACGGCUGACUUGACAGCAGCAGCUUUGACGUGUGUUUGUGUGGGUUUGGGACGAAUAAGCAAAAUACUGAGAAAGCUCAGUUAUUAUCCUUGUUUUUUUUUUCUUCGUUGAAUGUCUGUUACAAUUUGUACAAAUCUCUUUUUUUAAUUUUAUUUAGCUCUUCUUUCCUCAAUGUUUAGCUUUUAUGUUUGUCUUUGUAUAAAUGCAGCAGAUGUAAGGGUUUCUUUUUGCACUUUCUUUCCUCAUAUUUAAAUUAAGCAUUAAAAAUAUUAUCCUCCUUUUAAAAAUGGAAAUAGCUCAGAUUAUGCCAUUGUUUUACCACUCCAUGCAUUUUUAAAAUGUAAAAAGCUCCACGCACACAAAAAGGUCCUUAUUUCUUUGGACAAGAGGCACUGAGAUAUUUGCAUCCUGUUAGCGUAGUAUUUAUUGGGGUUUGUUGUUUUACGAUAUAAAGAAUUUCAAUAUAUUCAGUGUUUUUAUAUGAGGUCUGUUUAUUAAAACCAACAAAAAGAUGAACUUUGAAAUAAAACCUUUUGUGUAAA
ensembl:lncRNA